GGAGAUAUAGCUUAAUAGGUAGGGUAUCGCUUUCUAGGUUAGUAGGGCGAAGGUUAGAGGUUUGAAUCCGUUUAUCUCUA
rnacentral:tRNA from 1 species